rfam:Pan troglodytes isolate Yerkes chimp pedigree #C0471 (Clint) chromosome 20, whole genome shotgun sequence.
GCUGGGCGUGGUGGCGCACACCUGUAAUCCCAGCUACUCAGGAGGCUGAGGCAGGAAAAUUGCUUGAACCCGGGAAGUGGAGAUGGCAGUGAGCCAAGAUUUGCCACUGCACUCCAGCCUGGGCAACAGAGUGAGACUCUGCCUCAA